GCUUCGUAUCUCGUCGACGUCCACAAUAUAAAAAAAGGCGACGUCGUUUUGAUUCUCUCACCUAACUCCAUUCUCUUCCCCGUCGUCUCCUUCGCCGUCAUGUCAAUCGGAGCAGUUCUCACGACAACCAACCCGCUCAACACUGCCGGAGAGAUCUCCAAGCAAAUCUCCGAUUCCAAACCUUCUCUCGCAUUCACCGUCUCUCUCCUCGUCCCCAAGCUCUGCGCCGCCACCUCUACUUUCCCCGUCGUUCUUCUGGAUCGUGCUCCAC
rnacentral:lncRNA from 1 species